rnacentral:rRNA from 1 species
AUAAGCGGAGGAAAAGAAACUAACUAGGAUUCCCCCAGUAACGGCGAGUGAAGAGGGACUAGCCCAAAUUUGUAAUCUGGCUCUUUCAGAGUCCGAGUUGUAAUCUCGAGAACAGUUUUCCGUGUUGGACCUUGUAUAAGUCUGUUGGAAUAUAGCUUCGUAGAGGGUGAGAAUCCCGUACAUAACAAGGACUACCAAUGCUUUGUGAUACUGUCUCUAAGAGUCGAGUUGUUUGGGAAUGCAGCUCAAAUCGGGUGGUAAAUUCCAUCUAAGGCUAAAUAUUGGCGAGAGACCGAUAGCGAACAAGUACCGUGAGGGAAAGAUGAAAAGCACUUUGGAAAGAGAGUUAACAGUACGUGAAAUUGUUAAAAGGGAAACGAUUGAAGUCAGUCUUGUAGCUUUUCGUUCAACCGCAAGGUGUAUUCGGAUUGCAACAGGCCAGCAUCAAUUUUUGGUGUCGGAUAAGGGUAUUGGAAAUGUAGCAAUCUUGGUUGUGUUAUAGUCCUUUACUUGAUACGAUGCUAGGGAUUGAGGAACGCAGUGAGCCUUUUGGCGGGUCUUUGGACCUUCUCACUUUGGAUGCUGGCGUAAUGGCUUUAACACCCGUCUUGAAACACGGACC